AUUGAACGCUGGCGGCAGGCCUAACACAUGCAAGUCGAGCGGUAGAGAGAAGCUUGCUUCUCUUGAGAGCGGCGGACGGGUGAGUAAUGCCUAGGAAUCUGCCUGGUAGUGGGGGAUGACGUUCGGAAGCGGACGCUAAUACCGCAUACGUCCUACGGGAGAAAGCAGGGGACCUUCGGGCCUUGCGCUAUCAGAUGAGCCUAGGUCGGAUUAGCUAGUUGGUGAGGUAAUGGCUCACCAAGGCGACGAUCCGUAACUGGUCUGAGAGGAUGAUCAGUCACACUGGAACUGAGACACGGUCCAGACUCCUACGGGAGGCAGCAGUGGGGAAUAUUGGACAAUGGGCGAAAGCCUGAUCCAGCCAUGCCGCGUGUGUGAAGAAGGUCUUCGGAUUGUAAAGCACUUUAAGUUGGGAGGAAGGGUUGUAGAUUAAUACUCUGCAAUUUUGACGUUACCGACAGAAUAAGCACCGGCUAACUCUGUGCCAGCCGCCGCAGUAA
rnacentral:rRNA from 1 species